ensembl:snoRNA SNORD58 Small nucleolar RNA SNORD58
CUGCAAUGAUGACUCCUUAGGACACCUUUGGAUUAAUGAUGAAAAGUAUUGUAAUUUCUGAGCAGC